AUGUUUUCGCGCUAAGCGGUGCGCACGUGGCUCUUUCAAGUGUAUUUGCUAGUUGGGUUUUAGCUAUAUGCUAAGCUCUGCAGCAGGUCGUCUUGGCGGGGGUGUCGUGCGUCGUACGUGAUGCGCAUGAGUGGUGUUUGAGCUGUUUGGGAUUGCGGGCUCCAUGCUUUUAGCAUCGAACCGUCGUCUUGCAGCUCUCUUCAUUGUUACCUCGCACAUGCUGAGGGGUGAUGAUCGGGUUCCUGUGUUGAAUACCCAUUGAGGGGAAUUCUGAAGUGUGCCGUUAUUUUCCGCCUUGUGCUCGCUUCGGGUGCAGGUGGACAAUGCAGCGUCCCUCGUGUCCCAAAGCUCUCGCAAAUAAAUAGUUGGAGCUAUGGCCCUCGAGCGUCGCUUGUGCUCUCGGUUGCGGAAUGCAAUGUGGCCAAACGUGAUCUCGCACCGCGUUGCAUUGGCCCGACCCUAUGAAUCCUUUUCGAACGACUGCACCAACCUCGAAUUGGCUCGCCCCUACCAUUGCUUUGCUUGGUUGGUGGGCUGU
rnacentral:misc_RNA from 1 species